rnacentral:tRNA from 1 species
GGGGAUGUCGCUCAGUGGUAGAGCUCUUGCUUUAUAGGCCCUGGGUUUGAUUCCCAGCACCACCA